UAGUCCAUGCUGUAAAUUAUGCUCGCUAGGUGUGUAGAACCCUCGAGGUGCUAUGUGCCGUAAGCUAACGCGUUAAGCGAGCCGCCUGAGUAGUAUAGUCGCAAGGCUGAAACUCAAAGGGAUAGGCGGGGGAACACACAAGCAGUGGAUUGCCUCGAUUAAUUUGAUAAUAAGCAAAGAAUCUUACCUAGGCUUGACAUCUUCUGAAUCCUAUCGAAAGACUGGAGUGCCAGCUUGCUGGAGCAGAAUGACAGGUGCUGCAUGGCCGUCGUCAGCUCGUGCCGCAAGGUGUCCGGUUAAGUCCGGAAACGAGCGCAACCCUCAUCGUUAGUUAGGAUGUCUAGCGAGACUGCCUCCGUAAGGAGGAGGAAGGAGAGGAUGAUGUCAGGUCACUAUGGCCCUUAUGCCUAGGGCGUCAGAGACAAUACAAUGGGUAGUACAACAGGUAGCCAAGCCGUGAGGCGGAGCCGAAUCCUCUAAAA
rnacentral:rRNA from 1 species